CGAGCUUUGUUCCUGCUCGGUCCACCCCUCCUAGAGCUCUUCCUAGUUAGCAGCACCUGCCAGGUGGGAGCUGUGUGUUGCCCGCUGCUGCGUGGGAGGCGGGGGAGUGCGUGUAUGUGGGAAGCGUCCAGCUUACCGCACAUGUGGGAGCCAGCGCAGCGGCAGACACCCCUCUCUCGCACCGCUGCCCAGCAACCAGGCCUCGGUGCUAGGUAAGAAAAGGAGAUGUCUCAAGUAAGAGGACUUUUGCUCUGGUGGGACUACUUUUCUAAUACUGCUUUCCAGGUUUGGGUAAAUUGGAUGAAGCAGGAAGUUGCUCUGAACUUUAUAAGAUGAUCCCAGGACUCAUUAUGUGGAGAAAGAAGGAGGUAUAGAUAUAAAUACCGGCACUGAACACUAUACAUGGGACCCCAGUAAAGGAGCUUCCAAUUUGUUUACUCUGAAAAUGCCAAAAGGAGAAGUUGGUGAUUGAUUUUCUUCUUACUGUGAAGAUGUUAACAAUGAUAUCUGCUACUUUUAUAUCACCUACUUUUUAACCUCUGCCUGCAGAAGAAUAUCAUGGAAGAACAAGUUCCAGAACAGGAAGACAGAGGUACUUGGUAUAUGCCAAUAGGAAGCAAGUCACUGUCAGGUUAUACCUGUGAGAAAUUUGGACUAAACUUGCAGCAGAGACUGGAAUAGAAGCUUGGACUGAAAAGAUCUGAAAUGGCACAUGAAAGUCCUAAUACUGUGGUGCUCUUUCUUUAGGAAUGAAUGAUA